UACGUAGGCAGCAAGCGUUGUUCGGAGUUACUGGGCGUAAAGGGUGUGUAGGCGGUUGUUUAAGUUUGGUGUGAAAUCUCCCGGCUCAACUGGGAGGGUGCGCCCGAAUACUGAGCGACUAGAGUGCGGGAGAGGAAAGUGGAAUUCCUGGUGUAGCGGUGAAAUGCGUAGAUAUCAGGAGGAACACCGGUGGUGUAGACGGCUUUCUGGACCGUAAGCUGACGCUGAGACACGAAAGCGUGGGUAGCAAACAGG
rnacentral:rRNA from 1 species